rnacentral:rRNA from 1 species
GAUGAACGCUAGCGGCAGGCUUAACACAUGCAAGUCGAGGGGUAGAGUUAGCUUGCUAACUUGAGACCGGCGCACGGGUGCGUAACGCGUAUGCAAUCUACCUUGUACAGAGGGAUAGCCCAGAGAAAUUUGGAUUAAUACCUCAUAGUAUUAUUGAAUGGCAUCAUUUGAUUAUUAAAGUUCCAACGGUACAAGAUGAGCAUGCGUCCCAUUAGCUAGAUGGUAAGGUAACGGCUUACCAUGGCAACGAUGGGUAGGGGUCCUGAGAGGGAGCUCCCCCACAAUGGUGAUGAGACGCGGACCAGACUCCUACGGGAGGCAGCAGUGAGGAAUGUUGGUCAAUGGGCGCAAGCCUGAACCAGCCAUGCCGCGUGCAGGAAGACGGUCCUAUGGAUUGUAAACUGCUUUUAUACGGGAAGAAACACUGCUACGUGUAGCAGCUUGACGGUACCGUAAGAAUAAGGAUCGGCUAACUCCGCGCCAGCCGCCGCCGUAACAC